rnacentral:rRNA from 1 species
CAGGACGAACGCUGGCGGCGUGCCUAAUACAUGCAAGUCGAACGGUCUUUCUAUGGAAGCUUGCUUCCACUGAAAAGAUAGUGGCGAACGGGUGAGUAACACGUGGGUAACCUGCCCAUAAGAGGGGGGAUAACAUCCGGAAACGGGUGCUAAUACCGCAUAGUUUUCUUGAUCGCAUGAUCGGGAAAGGAAAGACGGCCUUUGUGCUGUCGCUUAUGGAUGGACCCGCGGCGUAUUAGUUAGUUGGUGAGGUAACGGCUCACCAAGACGAUGAUACGUAGCCGACCUGAGAGGGUGAUCGGCCACAUUGGGACUGAGACACGGCCCAAACUCCUACGGGAGGCAGCAGUAGGGAAUCUUCCGCAAUGGACGAAAGUCUGACGGAGCAACGCCGCGUGAGUGAAAGAAGGUUUUCGGAUCGUAAAACUCUGUUGUCAGAGAAGAACAAGUUGGAGAGUAACUGCUCCAGCCUUGACGGUAUCUGACCAGAAAGCCACGGCUAACUACGUGCCAGCCGCGGC